GCAUGCUCUGUCAGAAGCCUUCCUCUGGGAUUUGUUUUGUGGAAGAAGAGUUUCCCCCUGGCCUAACCCAGAAGAGAAUGAUGAUUGUGCAUUCCAUGCAGCCUCCGAAGCUGAGAUGCAACAAAGUAUGGAUCAAUUCUCUGCUUCUUGUGCUAAUUUUGACCUAACAAAACACCAACAAGACACAGGUCCUCCAUCAGCCAGCACUACACCAUCCAUAUGUGGAACCAUCAGUUCCAGAAAAUGGACAAACUUGGCAUUCAUUCAUUCCACGGGAAAUGUCUUUGUUACUGAAGCCGUCGUGACAAAGAUUGGCCUUGACUUGUCCUUUGGAAGGACAGAGAUUGCCUGGAAAAUCUUAUACCUCAUUUUUCUUCACUCCCAGUUAAUCAUAAAUAAAGCUUGCACAUGUAGUCUUAGGAUGCCAGGUAUGGCUGCUGCCUGGACUGUUAGUUGAUUAAUUUAUUUAUUG
rnacentral:lncRNA from 1 species